rnacentral:misc_RNA from 1 species
CAAAAACAAGAGGAAAUCGAGUCAUAUGUUUGUUCAUAAAGAUGGUGGAGUUUAGAGCUAAACAAUUCUGAUUUUUAAAGUAGGGUCUUCUGUCAUAGCCUUCGGUCAUGGAAACUCCGAAGCCAUCCUUCUUCGGCCAGGGAUAGACGUGACCGUAGGCGACACCUAGACUCGAAAUUUUUACUUCUUCUGAUUAAUUCCUGCCCCAUCUCCUACAUCUGCGUCUACUCCCAAAAACAACCAAGGGCUCUUGAAUUUUGAGAAAAUCGAAAAAUUUGGAGGAAUUUGGGGAUUAUGGAUUCAAUUAGGGGUGGGCAAACGAGAAUUUGUCGGAAUGGGAUGCGGACGGAAAUUUUGGGAAUAAAAAAACAUAUCCCAUAUAUAUGUCCCAUUUAAAUACAGAACGUGAGCGGACUGGAGUGGGACGGGACGGGAUGUGAACGUAGAGGGUAAUCCUAGUUGAACGUGUAUAGUAUAGGUGGACUGCUAUAGAUACCCAUUUUUAAAAAAGGUAAGAACAAUAGAUACUUGAUAGUAUGUAAAAUGCACUUCAAAUGGGCUUAGAGAACGUAUGGCCCAUGUCUAGAACACAAAACUCAUUUCGUCUUUAAGAGACCAACAUGUGAGUGAGAUGUGUCCACUUAGACCUGAAAGAAUGAUUAAGGAAGCAACGACUAAGAGAAGAUGUGGACCGUCGAAGAGAAUCACUUACCUGGACGGGGUCGACUUGCGACCAAGAAGACGAGUGGCCUACAUUGCACAUAAAAGAAGGGUGCUUAGCUUAAUCCUUAAGGUCUCCUCAACUGUGAGAGCAUGCGUUAUUAUUUGUGGCAGAGGGGUCAUGCGUUAGCGCGGUCACUACCAUUAAUAGUUUUAGUUUUUUUUUUCCAUGUUUCCAUUUCUAAGUUUUAAGUUAUAAGGUAAUUGACUAAGUUCUUAUUUGGAAUGCCAAGUUUUGAAUAUGUUAAAGUUAUUAUUUUGGUAUACAGUCCUACAACGGAAAAUGCAUCAAGU